AGGAAUAUUGGUCAAUGGGCGCGAGCCUGAACCAGCCAAGUCGCGUGAGGGAAGACGGCCCUACGGGUUGUAAACCUCUUUUGUCGGGGAGCAAGGACUGCCACGAGUGGCAGGGCGAGAGUACCCGAAGAAAAAGCAUCGGCUAACUCCGUGCCAGCAGCCGCGGUAAUACGAAGGAUGCGAGCGUUAUCCGGAUUUAUUGGGUUUAAAGGGUGCGUAGGCGGAAGUUCAAGUCAGCGGUAAAAUCGAGGGGCUCAACCCCUUUAAGCCGUUGAAACUGGGUUUCUUGAGUGGGCGAGAAGUGUGCGGAAUGUGUGGUGUAGCGGUGAAAUGCAUAGAUAUCACACAGAACUCCGAUUGCGAAGGCAGCACACCGGCGCCCAACUGACGCUGAGGCACGAAAGCGUGGGGAUCAAACAGGAUUAGAUACCCUGGUAGUCCACGCAGUAAACGAUGAACACUAGGUGUGCGGGUCGAAUGAGAUCUGCGUGCCACAGCGAAAGCGUUAAGUGUUCCACCUGGGGAGUACGCCGGCAACGGUGAAACUCAAAGGAAUUGACGGGGGCCCGCACAAGCGGAGGAACAUGUGGUUUAAUUCGAUGAUACGCGAGGAACCUUACCCGGGCUCAAACGGCAGAGGAAAGUUUUUGAAAGGAGGCUGCUCUACGGAGUCUCUGCCGAGGUGCUGCAUGGUUGUCGUCAGCUCGUGCCGUGAGGUGUCGGCUUAAGUGCCAUAACGAGCGCAACCCCUACCGCCAGUUGCCAUCAGGUAAAGCUGGGGACUCUGGCGGGACUGCCGGCGCAAGCUGUGAGGAAGGCGGGGAUGACGUCAAAUCAGCACGGCCCUUACGUCCGGGGCGACACACGUGUUACAAUGGCAGGUACAGCGGGAAGCCACCGAGCGAUCGGGAGCAGAACCCGAAAACCUGUCUCAGUUCGGAUUGGAGUCUGCAACUCGACUCCAUGAAGCUGGAUUCGCUAGUAAUCGCGCAUCAGCCAUGGCGCGGUGAAUACGUUCCCG
rnacentral:rRNA from 1 species